rnacentral:rRNA from 1 species
GCCUACGGGACGCAGCAGUCGAGAAUCAUUCACAAUGGGGGAAACCCUGAUGGUGCGACGCCGCGUGGGGGAAUGAAGGUCUUCGGAUUGUAAACCCCUGUCAUGUGGGAGCAAAUUAAAAAGAUAGUACCACAAGAGGAAGAGACGGCUAACUCUGUGCCAGCAGCCGCGGUAAUACAGAGGUCUCAAGCGUUGUUCGGAAUCACUGGGCGUAAAGCGUGCGUAAGCUGUUUCGUAAGUCGUGUGUGAAAGGCGCGGGCUCAACCCGCGGACGGCACAUGAUACUGCGAGACUAGAGUAAUGGG